rnacentral:rRNA from 1 species
CCGGCGCACGGGGUGAGUAACACGUAUGCAACCUGCCUGCCACAGCCGGAUAAUCGGGAGAAAUUCCGUCUAAUACGGCAUAAUGCAUCGACGGGACAUCCUGUUGGUGCCAAAGGUUAAUUCCGGUGGCGGAUGGGCAUGCGUCGCAUUAGUUAGUUGGCGGUGUAACGGACCACCAAGACGACGAUGCGUAGGGGUUCUGAGAGGAAGGUCCCCCACACUGGUACUGAGACACGGACCAGACUCCUACGGAAGGCAGCAG